rnacentral:rRNA from 1 species
GGACCCGCACAAGCGGUGGAGCAUGUGGUUUAAUUCGAUGCAACGCGAAAAAACCUUACCUACACUUGACAUACUUCGAAUUUUUCUAGAGAUAGAUUAGUGCCUUCGGGAGCGAAGAUACAGGUGCUGCAUGGCUGUCGUCAGCUCGUGUCGUGAGAUGUUGGGUUAAGUCCUAUAACGAGCGCAACCCUUACCCUUAUUUGCCAGCGGUUAGGCCGGGAACUAUAAGGGAACUGCCGGUAAUAAGCCGGAGGAAGGUGGGGACGACGUCAAGUCAUCAUGGCCCUUACGUGUAGGGCUACACACGUGCUACAAAUGGGAGAUACAGACGGUUGCUAAAGCGCGAGCUGAG